rnacentral:rRNA from 1 species
UACGUAGGGGGCUAGCGUUGUCCGGAAUCAUUGGGCGUAAAGGGCGCGCAGGCGGCUACGCACGUCCGUUGUGAAAUCGCUCGGCUCAACUGGGCGGGGUCAGCGGAUACGGCGUAGCUGGAGCAAGCUAGGGGGCAAUGGAAUUCCCGGUGUAGUGGUGGAAUGCGUAGAUAUCGGGAGGAACACCAGUGGCGAAGGCGGUUGCCUGGAGCUUUGCUGACGCUGAGGCGCGAAAGCGUGGGGAGCGAUCCGG